rnacentral:tRNA from 1 species
GGCCUCAUCGUCUAAUGGUUAGGACGAAAGCUUUUCAAGCUUUAAAUCGGAGUUCGAUUCUCCGUGGGGCUACCA